rnacentral:misc_RNA from 1 species
AAAAUCUCAGAUUAAUAAACAAAAGGCAGAUGGAGCGCGCCGAACAUGCGAGUGAAGCCACCAAAGCGAAUACAAAAUCAAAAGCGAAUACAAAGUCGCAGCAGUGCUAAAUAUAGCGUUGUAUUGUUUAAACGUAUCGAGUGAUUCAUUAUUUUUUGUCAAAAAAUGCCGUCUUGUGUUAUUAAAUAUUGUAAAAGUUGUUCCCAAAAACAAAAAAAAAGGAUGGAAUUUCAUUUCACAGAUUGCCGACAGAUGUUGUUCUACGCGAGGAAUGGGUUUCUAUUAUUCGCCAAAGCAGGCAAGACAAUAAUUGGCAGGCAUCAAUAUUUUGCGUUGUGUGUUCAUUACAUUUUAAAGAGGAUGGCUUAUGCUUUACCGAAAAAUGUCGAAGGUUGAUAAAAAAAUUCCAAUGUAAUUAUUUGUAAUACUAUCUAAUCUUUUGGUCUAGUCUUUAACUUGUCUGUAUAUCGAUGUAUGUGUGUGUGUGAAUAAAUGAUUAUUAUUAUUAUUAUUAUUAUUAAUAAAUAUUUUGAAUUAUGUAUGUUUUUUUAAAUCUGUCCAAUGAAAUAAAUAUGAUACUACUGAAAAACACUAAAGUUUUAUUAUCUAGUAUUGUAAACAGUGUAAAGUCCAUUUAAACCUUAUUAAACAAAAACAAAAUUAAUACCCGAAGCAAAGUGUGGACGGACCGCUAGUUAUAAAAAUUUUGACAUAUUACCUAUUUCUUUUGUUAUUUUAACGAAACCUUUAAUUUAAU